CGUGCUCAGAUUGUGACAGUACGUGCAUUCAGAUUGCAAGGAGAGCCUGUGUUAAUCAUCCCGUUUUCCAGUUGAGGAAAUGGAGGCCUGAGAGGUUUCAUGACAUGCCUAACACACACAGCUAGUGCACACACCUAAGCCAGGUGCUCCUGUCCCAUGAUUCCCGUGGACCCCGGCCAUGGUAGCUGGCCCCCACCCUGGCCAUGGACGAGGUCACCUUCAAAAGUGACACUGUGCUGUCAGACGUCCACCUCUACACCCCGAACCACAGACACCUCAUGGUGCGGCUGAACGGCAUGGGGCAGCCUGUUUUCCUGUCCCAGUUCAAGCUUCUGUGGAACCGAGACUCUCAGACAGACUCAGGGGCCGAGGGUGAUGGUCGUGGCGCUCUUCUCGCCGAGGAAACACCACCAUCCGGACCGGGCAGUGCCAGGCCCCCUCCAGGGAGUGGCCACAGUGACGCCACCAGCCAGGUGGGGCUGGGAACUCGGCUGGACGAAGACGGGGAUUUGGACGUGGAGAGGAGACCACCGACUGCUUCGGACCCCGAGCCAGCAGGGCCUCCGAGAGACAAGGUACAUCCCACGAUUCUAACGCAGGAGGAAGAGGACCCACUGGCAGAUGGAGCACGAGAGAGCAGCCCCUGGGAUAUCGUCAGAAUAGAGCACACCAUGGCCACCCCCCUGGAGGAUGUUGGCAAGCAGGUGUGGCGGGGUGCCCUGCUCCUGGCAGACUACAUCCUCUUUCAGCGGGACCUCUUCCAGGGCCGCACCGUGCUGGAGCUCGGGGCGGGCACGGGGCUGGCCAGCAUCAUUGCAGCCACUGUGGCACGCACGGUAUAUUGUACAGAUGUCGGCGCAGAUCUCCUGGCCAUGUGCCAGCGAAAUAUUGCCCUCAAUGGCCACCUGACUGCUGCUGGAGGCGGUGUGGUUAAGGUCAAAGAACUGGACUGGCUCCGCGACGACCUGUGCACAGACCCGGAGGUCCCCUUCAGCUGGUCGCAGGAGGAUGUCUCUGACCUGUACAGCCACACCACCAUCCUGCUUGCGGCCGAAGUGUUUUACGAUGAUGACCUAACCGACGCUCUGUUUAAAACCCUGUCCCGCCUCGCUCACAAGCUGCAGAACGCCUGCACGGCCAUUCUGUCUGUGGAGAAGCGGCUGAACUUCACACUCAGACACCUGGACGUCACAUGCGAGGCGUACGACCACUUCCGCUCCUGGCUGCGGCGGCUGGAGGGGCUCGCGGACGGCCGGCUGCGCUUCGCGGUGGAGCGGGUGGAGGCCUCCUUCCCGCAGCUCCUGGUUUACGAGCGCAUCCAGCAGCUGGUAGGUGCGGGCUGUCACUGCUGUGCGCGACGCCGCGGACCCAGGGCCCCCACACGCGGGCGCCGCACCCCGGUGCUGCCAGGGCAUCCUGAGGGGCCACCGUGUCUGCACGUGGGCCUGCGGGCCGUCUGUCGCCCUGGACUUACAGGGCGCUCUUUCCCUGCGGGCAGUUCCUGCUGCAGAGGAAGUGGGCCAAGCACAGGAGGCGGCUGGGGUGCAGGAAGUCCGCCGGGGGACACGUGGUGGGGUUCUCAUGCAGGAGCCCCAGUGCUGGAGGCCACACCUUCGCCAUGGACAUGGGCUGGCCUCCCAGACUGGGCAGGCUUGUCUAAUUGCCAGUGGCCCUUCCGACCAGGCCCGCUGGGUCCAUCAGACUAGGCCUCUGAGGAAGCCUCCCAGUAGCGGUACACGGGCCGGGUACCAGGCCGAGCUCCUUCCUCCCUGGCCUCAGUUGAUGCCGAGACCAGGAGCUCUGGAAGAUCUUUGUGGAACCGGUGAUGUGACCCACUGCAUCCCAAGCACGGCUUCUCGACUGUUCUUAGAGUACAUCUCUAAUAAAAUCAAAAG